rnacentral:rRNA from 1 species
ACUCAAAUGAAUUGACGGGGGCCCGCACAAGCGGUGGAGCAUGUGGUUUAAUUCGACGCAACGCGAAGAACCUUACCUGGGCUUGACAUGCGCGCGCAAGCCGGCAGAGACGCCGGCCCCUCUUCGGAGCGCGCGCACAGGUGCUGCAUGGCUGUCGUCAGCUCGUGUCGUGAGAUGUUGGGUUAAGUCCCGCAACGAGCGCAACCCCCGCCCCUAGUUGCCAGCGGAGCGGCCCUUUAACAAGGCCAAGCCGGGGACUCUAGGGGGACUGCCGGUGCCAAACCGGAGGAGGGUGGGGACGACGUCAAGUCAUCAUGGUCCUUACGUCCAGGGCUACACACGUGCUACAAUGGGCGGGACAGUGGGCCGCGAGGCGGCAACGCCGAGCCAAUCCCCAAACCCGCCCUCAGUUCGGAUUGCCGGCUGCAACCCGCCGGCAUGAAGCCGGAAUCGCUAGUAAUCGUGGAUCAGCCACGCCACGGUGAAUACGUUCCCGGGCCUUGUACACACCGCCCGU